CUCCACCGUCAUCAAAUAUCAAAGCUCCGACAGCCCUAAUUCUCUUCUCUUCUUUCCUGAUUCUCUGAAAAACAUGGUAAAAACAAUACUAUGACAAACAAAGAGAAAGCAGAAGGUUAGCUAUUUUUUAUCGAUCUCAGGUUAAAUCUCUGCAACUAGGGGAGGAGGAAGGUUGCUUAAUAGUUCAACUUUUUAUUCUGAGUUAGUAGGGAACGACUACCAGGACCUAAAGACAGAAGGAGGGCAAGAAGACGUCAUGUUGAUAAAACUAUCCGAGAAAAGAAAAGAAAAGAAAAGAAAAAAAAGUGGAGAUGAAGUCCGGGUUGCAAGUAUUGUAUUGAAAACAAAGAUGGUUGUUUGCAAAUAACUUACAGAAAGUGUGCGAGUGCGAACUUUGACAUGAUGUUCGUCAUGUUUUGCUUGCUUGCAGAUGAUCAUCAGAGGACACCAACUUUGUAAGCAACACAUAUAAAAACCUUUAAAAUUAUUAAUGAUUAUGAGGUACCUGGACUUGGUAAGCACUCUCUGCACACAUCAAACCAUUUCCGCUCUUAUAUAUGUACAUUUUCAUUAAUGAAAAGGUGCUCUGCUUUGUCUCAUUUUAAAGUUCUGUAGUUUGGUAUGGAUUACUGUAUAUCUGGGAAUAAUUGGAAUGUUAUGUAGCUCAUGGUUCGUGCUAUUAAAAAGAAAAAAAAUUAAGCGUUAAAAGAAAAAAAAAACGUGGCAUAUAGGUUCGCAUUGCUGCCUAAUUUUCAUAAGUAUGGAAUUUUUCUGUCUGCAAAUGUUAGAGGUAGUAUGGGUACGUAUUCAUAUGCUUAUAUUAAACAAACGACUACAAUGUUAGCACCAUAUUUUCUUAUUAUAGUAGUGAUUAGUCAGUUUGGUAAUACCAAAUAAACAUGAAUUUUGAUAAAUUGGAACAGGAAAUCUACUCAUAAUUUUAAAUCAGUCUUUUAUGGCAGGUGUUUUAAAAAUUUAUGUAAUGUACAUAACUCCCUAUACCAGCACGUUCCGUCUUAGCUCAACUGGUAGAGCGCGUGGCAUUCUGCCUUGAGUUAUGGGUUCGAUUCCCAUAGAUGGAAAUCAACAUGAAAGGCUAAUCAGCUGCAUCAGUUUUACAAUAUUAGGUUGUCCUUCCAAUAC